UAAGGGCCUGUUUGGUUUAUUGAUAUCUCAGUUUUCAUAACUCAAAUCCAAAACUCAUAACUCAGUUCUCAAAACUCACAUUCACUCAAAAAUUACAAUGUAUCUGUUUGGACUCAGUUCUCAUUCAAAUAUCUCUACAACUUUUUCCCAAAACCGUGUAUCCCUCCACUGACACUACCCAGUGUUGCUAUUGUUGCUACUUGCGUCUCAUUAACAAAAAAAAACCUUUAAUUGAGCUUCACUUCUCCCACUGAGGGUCACCGUGGAAGCCAUCUUCUUCUUUUACUUCUCCCACUGAAAGAGUCAUCGUGUUCUGCCUCUCACAUCUCGCCUCUUGCCUCCCACAUCAACGCAGCCCACAUCACCGCACGCCCACAACAAAGCAGGAUCUCAACGUCAUCUUCAGCUUUCUCGGCCCUCUCUUCUCUAUUCCAAGCAUUCAUAGUCACAGUUUUGGUUCAUAUACCUACUUGGAAUUAGAGUUUGUAGCUUAAAA